rnacentral:rRNA from 1 species
AUUGAACGCUGGCGGCACGCCUAACACAUGCAAGUCGAGCGGUAGCACAGUUUGUAGCAAUACAAAUGGGUGACGAGCGGCGGACGGGUGAGGAACACGUAGGAACCUGCCCUUUAGCGGGGGACGACCAAGGGAAACUUUGGCUAUUACCGCGUAAUCUCGAGAGAGUAAAGCUGCCCGUAAGGGUAGCGCUAAAGGAGGGGCCUGCGUCCGAUUAGCUAGUUGGUGAGGUAAUGGCUCACCAAGGCGAGGAUCGGUAACUGGUCUGAGAGGACGACCAGUCACACUGGGACUGAGACACGGCCCAGACUCCUACGGGAGGCAGCAGUGGGGAAUAUUGGACAAUGGGGGCAACCCUGAUCCAGCGAUGCCGCGUGGGUGAAGAAGGCCUUCGGGUUGUAAAGCCCUUUAGGUUGGGACGAAGAGUGGUAGGUUAAUACCCUGCUGCUUUGACGGUACCGACAGAAUAAGCACCGGCAAACUCUGUGCCAGCAGCCGCGGUAA